GGAUGUGCGGGCGAUCUGGCUGCGACACCUGUCACACUGUUGAUCGCCAGAGCUGAUUCGGCUGAGCUGGCCGGCUAGGUGGGUCCCCUUCCGCCCUCACCACCCCACAUACAUUCCUCCUAAAGCUUCCCACUCAGUCCAAGGGGACGACCCUCCCUGACUGAGGAGGUCUGUUCUUUGGUCAAGGGCGAACGGGUAGCUGCGCGUCCCUGCUAGAACCUCCAAAUGAGCUCUUCACGUCGGAAAAUUAGAGACUCUAUAUUCCCAUAAACAUUGAUUGGGAAU
rnacentral:sRNA from 1 species